AUUGAACGCUGGCGGCAGGCCUAACACAUGCCAGUCGAGCGGAUGAAGGGAGCUUGCUCCUGGAUUCAGCGGCGGACGGGUGAGUAAUGCCUAGGAAUCUGCCUGGUAGUGGGGGAUAACGUCCGGAAACGGGCGCUAAUACCGCAUACGUCCUGAGGGAGAAAGUGGGGGAUCUUCGGACCUCACGCUAUCAGAUGAGCCUAGGUCGGAUUAGCUAGUUGGUGGGGUAAAGGCCUACCAAGGCGACGAUCCGUAACUGGUCUGAGAGGAUGAUCAGUCACACUGGAACUGAGACACGGUCCAGACUCCUACGGGAAGCAGCAGUGGGGAAUAUUGGACAAUGGGCGAAAGCCUGAUCCAGCCAUGCCGCGUGUGUGAAGAAGGUCUUCGGAUUGUAAAGCACUUUAAGUUGGGAGGAAGGGCAGUAAGUUAAUACCUUGCUGUUUUGACGUUACCAACAGAAUAAGCACCGGCUAACUUCGUG
rnacentral:rRNA from 1 species